rnacentral:antisense_RNA from 1 species
GACCAUGUAAGCAGAUCACAGAAGCUAUUCACAGAUCAUCAUCAGCCAGAGGGAAAUGAAAUAAUAACGCUGACCAUUUGUGGAGCACAUUCUGUCUGGAGGCAAAGGAUGCCAAGAUGGGAAAGCCACAUAAUGGAAGGAUCCUGGAUUUCAGAGCUGUCACUUGGAGGAGGGGCACCCAGUGAAGAGUGGCCAUAUGGAUUUGAUCCCUAUCCUUCAGAGGUGCUCAGCCUAAGGGAACACGGAUAGUAGAUUAAGCACUGACCAGAUAUGUAGAAGCACUUAGGGACUUUGUUCUACUAUUCUGCACUGAAGGAACUUUCAGAACUUUCCAGUGCUUCAAGUUGGGGUCCGGCUCGAGUUUGUACAUUCCAACUUGUUGUUUGGGCCUUGUUGGACAUAACUGAAGUCUGGAUGGCAGGGUGAAAAUUGGAUAAACAGCCACACUGACUCAGGGGAGAUUUUUUUUUAAUGCAAACAUCUGUUUCUUGAAUUUGGCCAUGGUAAGACCUAAGGGAAGGGGGAAUACCAGUUGAUGAAAUAAGAUCAAGAAGAUACUGCCUCAUUUUUUCUUCUGUUUCAGGGGUAUAAAUCCUGCCUUCUCUCAGCCUUACAGAGGAAGAAAACCCUUUCCAAGUUUCCUGUGAUAUUGGGUUUAUGCCCAAUUCUAGUUUAGGCAUGAAGAAACUGAAGCAUGGAGGAAAAACUAAGCAACUAGCCCAACGUCACACAGGCAAGCCAGCCUUGACAAUGUGCUGUUGGCAACCU